UACGUAGGUGGCAAGCGUUAUCCGGAAUUAUUGGGCGUAAAGCGCGCGCAGGUGGUUUCUUAAGUCUGAUGUGAAAGCCCACGGCUCAACCGUGGAGGGUCAUUGGAAACUGGGAGACUUGAGUGCAGAAGAGGAAAGUGGAAUUCCAUGUGUAGCGGUGAAAUGCGUAGAGAUAUGGAGGAACACCAGUGGCGAAGGCGACUUUCUGGUCUGUAACUGACACUGCGGCGCGAAAGCGUGGGGAGCAAACAGG
rnacentral:rRNA from 1 species